ACUGCUAAAAAAAACCAGAAGAAAAAGUAGUGUGUGUGUGUGGUUCGUUCGUGUCUCCUGGCUAGUAAGUACCGAGGGCUUCAUCUAUCUAAAAGGAGUCAUUUCCAUCUGAAUGUGGCAGCACCGGGACACAGCAGCAGAGCGAGUCCACAUCCAGAAGACUGGAGCCGUGUUUCACUGACAGGCUGUCAGACUAACGCCCUGAUGAGCUCAGCUGGGACAAACUGGUCUGAUGUUUAGGUAAGUGAAGAUCUGCUUCUCCAAGUCCUUGAGAUGCUAGUAAAAAAUAAUUUAGCCAGCUUGCUAAUGUUACUUUUCUUCUCCUCUAAGGAACACAGAACGUUCAGAUGUUGGAGCUUCACGUCACCUACUGAGGAAGGAGACCCACCAGUAAAGAGACGGUCUGGACCAGACCAAAAAUAUGGCGAUGACAUCAUGGAACUGGUCUUUGGAAAAGUUUUCCCUGAACCAACUCCGUUUCUAGAUGAGGUAGAGAAGAUCUGCAUCUCACCAACCCUCUGGUCUCAGUAUUCAGACAACGGAGGUCUCCCACUGUUAUCCAGGACCAGUUUGAAGCCCACAUACUGCCCCUCCCUCAUCAUCAGGAAACAUCAAUCCGUAUCCUGAGGACAACAGAAGACGGCAGGAGGACAGGAACUCUGAGACCUAGACACCACCAGCACCGAGACACAAAGCACCUGUGUGCACAACGCCUGUUUAACUACUAAAGCCUGUUUAUUAUAUUGUUCUACUUAUUUGCUGUGAGGUUAAUACUUAGAAAAUUUGUAUAUUAAUGUAAACAAUAAAAAAAAUCACUGAUUGUAUGCUUUCUUUUAGAUGUAAUGGUCCAAACUCAGCCUUGUAGACAUUUAUUGCAUCCUGUAGGUAAAUACACAGAACAGGCUCAGAUCCAGGAUGACCCAGCAUGCUCUUCUUCCAUUCUGGCUGUUAGGGAUUGUAUCAAUAACUCAAUGCCUACUGAUGUUUUCACCUAACGGUAUUUAUUUAGAAUGCAGGUAAGAUUUAACUAUAUUUGUUAGCAAAGCAGACUGAUCUUGGGAAUUUCACUGCAGCACUGAUGUCCACCUCUCUGUACACAUUAGAGAGAAUUACCACUUUACAGCUAAACACAUUUAAUAAAGAUAUAGGCUACGCAUUGCAGACAAUAAAAACAAAGUUGUAAGCAUUAGAAUUAUAAUGAUGACAUUAAAGAACAUUUGGAGGAAUGUUCUUUAUUUUUGACUAGAAUCUCAAAUCUUUAAAUUAAAAUGUAACUGCUUUUUAUCCAUUUUCAGCCAUUAAGACACCCAAUAUAAAAUAAGACUACUUAUAAAAUUAUUUAUAAUUAUAUGUAUGUAUAUAGAUAGAGAUCUUAAUAAAAUAUAUUCUUUGAAUGGUGUUUUAAUGAGCUGUAUCAUUUUUUUAAACAUUUUUUACAGAAAUAAGCAAGCAGCAUUCCUUGUGUGUGUGUGUGUGUGUGUGCGCGCGCGCGUGUGCCUGCUCGCUUGUCCCUCCGUCGGCCGUGACGGGUGUGUGUGAGUGACUACAGACAAAUGCAUGAGAGAGUUAGCAGCCAUGAAACAGCUUGAUGAACUACUCUCCCCACGUGUUUUAAAAAUGCUAAUAUGCUAUGCUAAAUCUGCUAUGCUAAAUAAUGAUUUCUCUAUAGAACUACAAAGUCCGACUGGGGGAGGAGAGUACAGGACUGCACUAUGGAGGGGGGCGGAGUUUACAGCUCCUCCUCCAGUUUAAAGAGACAGUACCCAAAAACGGCUCGUUCUCAAGACUCUCCUCAGAACAGGGGUAGAUGAGGGUCUGUAGAGCAACAAUAAUGAGGAAAUCAGACCAAAGAACUGCAGUUCCACUGUAUUUAGACCCCCAACUGAAGGAUUUAGAUGUAAAAAGGAAUAACUUAAAAGCAUGUUAUGUCUCCUUUAAAUAUAUGUGGGAGGAAAAAACAAAAAACCUCAGUCUCUGAUCUUUUUUAAACUAAUAAUAAAAACUAAACCAAUGGGUCACUUAGCGAUAAGCUGUGAUGGAGUUUUAUGGCUGUAUUUCUGAACUCGGCCAACUCUUCAUCAAAGGUUUGAAUAUUUUAUAAAAAUGCUAAAAAUCAUAGCUCUUGAAUUUUUCUAACACAUUUUGUUACAUCGUACAAAAUAAUGGUGUUCUGAUCCUUGUGAAAUGAGCAAAAUCACCCAAAAGAAAAUGUUCACCCUUCCUACACACAUAAUGUGGUAUAAAAAAGAUUUCUCUACAUGCCCCAUAAAAUGAUUUUAUUUUCUGUGCUGGAAUUAUUUUUAAACAACUGAACAAAACAAAAUUAUUGUAACUGCUUGGCAUCAAGGACGUUAUUGAAAUGAGAAUUAGGGACAAAAGUAAGUCUUUUAAUCGACAACAGGUCCUUUAAUUAGGAAAUAAUGUGUAUGGAGUGUAUUUGAUGCCUGUAAUCAACACAAUGGUCUCUUAGAUUUUAAAAUGAUCAUAAUCAAAACGAAAGACAAUAAUUUCCCAAAUGCAAUUAUUUUAUUGUAACAUCUGAAGGAGGGUAACACUCGGAUCCAGACCUAACUAAAUGUAUUCAACCUUAUUUGACACCAAAUAUUUAUUUAUUUUAUUUGAUCACUUUUUGCCAUUAAGACUUUGUAUUUUUGUUUCAUUCAUUCCGUUGGUUAUUGCAGCGGUGUGUGUAAUAAAUCUGACAUGUCACCUGACCUAACUCAUUAAUUAAGCUGCAGUAUAUUCAGUCAGGACAUCUGUGCUUGCAUUCAGUAAAUAUGUCUUCAGUAGUUCCAUUCUGUUGAGUGCUCUGCCUUUAUUAUGAAUGACAAUAGGUAAAUUACAGGUCAAGGCUGAUGUCAACGCUGACCACGCCCACUGAUUGUGUGUCCAUUCCAACCUGCCACCAAGUUAAAAUGUCCGUCCUGCUUGUAGAAGCAGCGGAGAUACUACCUGUGUGUGCCUGCCUUCACAAAUUAUUCAGCACAGCAGAACCAUGGGAUGUUGAAGUGUCAGGAUAGCUGCAAAUUCAAACAAGCUACUUCUUUUAUUUUUUUCUUCCACAAGCCUUUUUUCACUUUGACCUUGGCUGACUACAGUUAUGAAAAAAUCUCAGGUGUUUGAAGGAUGCACAGUUUCAAAGCACAUGCACUGAAAUUAAUGAGAAUACUUGUUACGUCUGAUUGUUGUUCCAGGCAUAAGCUGCCAAAAAGUGUGUGUGUGUGUGUGUGUGUGUGUGUGUGUGUGUGUGUGUGUGUGUGUGUGUGUGUAUGUGUGUGUGUGUGUGUGUGUGUGGG
ensembl:lncRNA